rnacentral:rRNA from 1 species
GUCUAUGGCCAUGUCACCCUGAACAAGCUCGAUCCCGUCUGAUCUCGGAAGCUAAGCAGGGUCAGGCCUGGUUAGUACUUAGAAGGGGAAUAACCUCGGAAGACCAGGUGCUGUAGGCA